CACUGAGAUACUCAGCUACAUCUCUGAUGUGAGGGUUUGCUGAGCCCUUUUCCAGAGCCGCACAUCCACCUUUGGUUUCUACCUUCUAUCCAACUCUCACUUGUGGCUCCAAGGAGUUGUACUCUUCACAAUGGCCACAUUGGUAAAACCAUCUCUGUAAAUGGGCUCAAUCAGGUUGAGGGUAACUGAGACCUCAAACUCAGCAGUGAUUUGGCUGGGAGGAGUCUACCCUAACCAUGUGAAGACUUCCCUCAGUGGAAUGGGCAGAUGAGAACAAUUUGUUCCAAUGGCCAUGAAGGCAUUGGAAGCAGGUGCCAUAGAGCACUUAAAGUUUGGCUGGAAAUUGAAGAUGCCAAGGCCAUCCACUACAUCCCAAGCCAUUGCCAGUUAUCUUGACUUCUGUCUUGCUGCUGGACUUUGAUAACCCUAGAAGAGAGAGUGUUGCUGAAGGCCGGGCAACUCUGAUUCAUUUAAAUCCAAUUCCUGGGCAAGCCAAAGCAUCGGCUGGGAUGCCAUUGGUCUUCUUUGAAGGGAAGAAGGAAAAACAACUCUAUGGAUUUCAGAAGGCAACUGGGAAUGAUAGUCACUUUCUAGAGUGGGUGACAACUCCAGAGGCCACUGCCCCGCCCAUUCUUGGGCAGUGCUAGGUAAAUUGAAAGACGGCGAUUGGUUCCUGUGAAGUGGAGGAGGGACAGGAAGUGACAGCGAGGAAACUGCUUUAAAAAGGCCAGCUCCAGGAUUCAGUCCAGAUUCUGUGUUGGUGAGCCGGACUGGAGGAGAAGAUUCUUUUCUUGGAUCCUGUGGUGGUGAGUGGAGUGAUUCCUUCCUUGGUUCUUCAGUGAGGGGACCUUCUCUGCUUAUUGAUGCUUCGGUGGAAUACUCCCUUCAGCACGAGUUCUGGUGAGAUUCUUGGAGUUUUUAGCCUCAUGUGCACUGAAAGUUCUUGAAGGAUUCUUCAGCAUCUACUGGCUCUUUGGAUUUCAGCUUCCUAGAUAGGACUUUGGAUUCUGGUAAGAUUUGUUUUUGGAUUCGCAUUUGGGGUCUGGAGACAUUAGGAUUAAACUUGGG
rnacentral:lncRNA from 1 species